CGAACGCUGGCGGCGUGCUUAACACAUGCAAGUCGAACGGUGAAGCGCCUUCCUUUUCGGUGGGUGCGGAUGAGUGGCGAACGGGUGAGUAACACGUGAGUAACCUGCCCCCUUCUUCUGGAUAACCGCAUGAAAGUGUGGCUAAUACGGGAUAUUCUGGGUCUGUCGCAUGAUGGGUCUGGGAAAGAUAUUGUUUCGGUGGGGGAUGGGCUCGCGGCCUAUCAGCUUGUUGGUGGGGUGAUGGCCUACCAAGGCGGUGACGGGUAGCCGGCCUGAGAGGGUGGACGGUCACACUGGGACUGAGACACGGCCCAGACUCCUACGGGAGGCAGCAGUGGGGAAUAUUGCACAAUGGGCGCAAGCCUGAUGCAGCGACGCCGCGUGAGGGAUGGAGGCCUUCGGGUUGUGAACCUCUUUCGCCAGUGAAGCAGGCCUGCCUCGUUUGUGGGUGGGUUGACGGUAGCUGGAUAAGAAGCGCCGGCUAACUACGUG
rnacentral:rRNA from 1 species